CACAUGCAAGUCGAGCGGUAACAGAGAGUAGCUUGCUACUCUGCUGACGAGCGGCGGACGGGUGAGUAAUGCUUGGGAAUGUACCUUAUGGUGGGGGACAACAGUUGGAAACGACUGCUAAUACCGCAUAAUGUCUUCGGACCAAAGCGGGGGACCUUCGGGCCUCGCGCCAUAAGAUCAGCCCAAGUGGGAUUAGCUAGUUGGUGAGGUAAUGGCUCACCAAGGCGACGAUCCCUAGCUGGUUUGAGAGGAUGAUCAGCCACACUGGGACUGAGACACGGCCCAGACUCCUACGGGAGGCAGCAGUGGGGAAUAUUGCACAAUGGGCGCAAGCCUGAUGCAGCCAUGCCGCGUGUGUGAAGAAGGCCUUCGGGUUGUAAAGCACUUUCAGUAAGGAGGAAAGGUUGGNUGUUAAUAGCAUUCAGCUGUGACGUUACUUACAGAAGAAGCACCGGCUAACUCCGUGCCAGCAGCCGCGGUAAUACGGAGGGUGCGAGCGUUAAUCGGAAUUACUGGGCGUAAAGCGUACGCANGCGGUUUGUUAAGCGAGAUGUGAAAGCCCCCGGGCUCAACCUGGGAACUGCAUUUCGAACUGGCAAACUAGAAUGUGAUAGAAGGGUGGUAGAAUUUCA
rnacentral:rRNA from 1 species